AAACAGGCUCCAGGCUCCGAGCCAUCAGCCCAGAACCUGACGCGGGGCUGGAACUCACGGACCGCGAGAUCGUGACCUGGCUAAAGUCGGACGCUUAACCGACUGCGCCACCCAGGCGCCCCGCCCCAUGGAGUUAUUUCUAAAACUUCAGAUGACCCCUCAUCUAGCAUUUCGGGAGUUUAAUUCUGACAGUAUCCAAGAUUUGAAAUUGUAUUGGAGGUGUCCAUUCAUUUGGCAAAUGUGAGUGACUAUUAUGUAUUGGACACUUAGGGGCAUACUAUGUCUAGUAAGGCAUGGUCUCUGAUGGCAAGAUGUUUACCUUCUAGUAAGGUCAAAGACUUGCAAACACAAUUAUAGUACAAGACAAUUCCAUAUAAUUGCAAUACCCAUGAAGUACAGAAAGUGCAUAAACAACCUUAAAUUUUCACAAAGAGGCAUCUGACUCAAGUCUUGGAUAAAUGAGAAUUUGCAAGGUGGAGAAGCAUAAAAAGAUUCUAAACAGUAAAAACAGCAUAUGUAAAUGUACUAGGCAUGAGAGACCAUUUUUUAAUAACUACAAGACACAGCAGUACUGUCCAAGCACCACCCGGUGCCUGGGUGGCUCAGUCAGUUAAGCGUUUGACUUCGGCUCUGGCUCCAGUUGUAAUCUCACUGUGAGUUCCAGCCCUGCGUUGGGCUCUCUGCUGUCAGCACGGAGCCUGCUUCAGAUCCUCUGUCCCACUCCCCAUCCCCAUCCCCCCCCCCCCGCCCCGUGCACCUCCCCUGCUCGCUCGUAUGCUCUCUCUCUCUCAAAAAUAAACAAAAAAAAGAAAAUUCUACUUCCUCCAUAGCUCAAGUAGCAUCCUUUACCUUAAACUACCUGUUAAAGUGGAAAAAACAUUUUGACAUAAGGGGUUGUUUGAUUGAAAAGGGACCUGAGUGCUGGCACAGUAGCUAAUUUAAUAGUCUUUGUUUCCUUGUCUGCUCCUUAUUUUUAUACUGUAUAUAGACUAUGUAUGACUUAUUCUGACUAAGCAGUGGUAACUGGAAAAGGUGAAGUCUCCUUAUGAAAUGUGUACAAUUUGUAUUGUGAAUUUAACAAGGUCCUUAAUCCCUUCUUUUGCUUCUAAAAGGGUAGGGGAAGUGUCUGAUCUUGCUCAACCCAACAAUUCAUCCUUUGAUAGUUUCUAAUAGCUUGAGUCUAGAAGCCUUAUAUAAUCAUGUUAUUUGCUCAGUAGAGAGGAAUGAAUGGUAGAUAGAAAUAAAAUAUUUUGGCCUUCUUUAACUUAAAGUACUUCAUUUUCUAUUCUAAAAUUAACUAAACUUGGGGCGCCUGGGUGGCUCAGUCGGUUAAGCAUCCGACUUCAGCUCAGGUCAUGAUCUCACAGUCUGUGAGUUUGAGCCCCGCAUCAGGCUCUUUGCUGACAGCUCAGAGCCUGGAGCCUGCUUCAGAUUCUGUGUCUCCCUCUCUCUCUGCCCCUCCCCUGUUCAUGCUCGGUCUCUCUCUGUCUCAAAAAUAAAUGAAAACAUUAAAAAAAUUAAAUUAACUAAAUUCUUCACCCCUUUCUGGACCUUUCUCUUCAUGAAGCUACAUCUUUUGUGCAACCCCAUUUAAAACAACUAUUUAUAAAUUUAUUUCUGUUUUACAGUCUGAGAUGGAAUUCAUCCUGCUUUUCACACUAAACUCAGCAUAUUUUAAACUACUAAGAUAUGACUUAAUAUUUAGCCUUUGAUAAAGAAGCUUGAACAGAAAAAAAAUCAUGUUUUUUUUUUUUUUUUGGCCCUGUGUUAGCUUUUUGUUUUGUAGCUAGCAAGAUAUAUAUUAUCCAUAUAUCUGUGUCAGUUUUCUUUUACAUUCUCCACUUAGCCUAUAUUCUGAGAUAAAUAAUUGCUGGCAAGCUUUCAUGGGGCCAAAGAAUUGAAUUCUUAAAGGCAAAUAAGCAAUUUUAAGAAUGAGAAUGACACAUGCAGAGGGAGAGAGGCCAACCAAGAAACAGACUUUUAACUAUAGAGAGCAAACUGAUAGUUACUAGAGAGGUGCAUGGGGGAAUGGGUUAAAUAGUUGAUGGGGAUUAAGGAGGGCACUUGCUAUGAUGGACACCAGGUGAUGUAUGUAAAUGUUAAAUCACUAUGUUGUACACCUGAAACUAAUAUAACACUGUAUGUUAACUUGAAUUAAAAUAAAGUGAAAACUUUAAAAAAUUUAAAAAAAAAUAAAAGAAUGACAUCGUAGGAAGGAAACUAAACAAAGUUGGGAACCCAGGUUCAAGUUCUAGGUUUGCAUGUAACUAUUUAUCCUUGAAUAUUUGCUUAGCCAAGAGCUCUUGCCUUUAGUAUUUAUUUCUCUCACGAGAUUUGAACUAGAAAACCUCUUAAGUUCAACAAAUAUAUGGCAUGACUUUUGGAACAAUAUUGAUUUCAAAAUCUCUUAUGACUUUAACAUCUGUAAAUAAAAAAUAUCUCAAAUGCUAAUAUUUCAGACUUUUCAGUCCUGGAAAUAUUGUAGAAAUCCUUUAUUAAAAUUAUGUGAUUUAGGGGCGCCUGGGUGGCUCAGUCGGUUAAGCAGCCGACUUCAGCUCAGGUCAUGAUCUCACGGUCCAUGAGUUCGAGCCCCGCGUCGGGCUCUGUGCUGACAGCUCAGAGCCUGGAGCCUGUUUCAGAUUCUGUGUCUCCCUCUCUCUGACCUUCCCCCGUUCAUGCUGUCUCUCUCUGUCUCAAAAAUAAAUAAACGUUAAAAAAAAAUUAAAAAAAAAAAUUAUGUGAUUUGGUCUUGAUUUGGAAAAUGGAGUCCUACCAUAUCUUUAUUCAUUUCCCAACUAGAACUAUGUGAUUCUAGGAUAGAUACAGAACAACAUCCCAUUUCAUAUCCACUAUGCCACCUCCUUCUCAAGCCGUUCCUCUUCCAAAUUUUCAGCCGCUUUAACAUUAAAAACUUUUCUAUCUAAACUUAUACCUUCAGAACUAUAUAAUUUUAUCUUUUUCUAAAGUCAGUAUAAAUUAUUUUUAACUCAUAAUGGUAUUUGUUCAGAACAGUUGGAUUGAAUGCUUACUGUGUGUAAUAUGCAUAAUGGAACCUUAAGUACAAUACCGAUACUGGGAAAGAUAAAGAAUUCAAAUAGUAAUUUUUGUCAGAGAAAAUUUGGGAAAUUAUUUGUGUAGCUUAGUUAUAAUUUUCCAGGGGAUAUGCCUUUAUUUUCUCUGUGUUCCAGGUCUUUCCUGAAAUUUAGAAGCCCCUUUGUUCCCCUUCCUUUCUGAUGCUGUCAGUGGUGAUGAUCACCUUUGAGGAAGAAAAGCCCACUUCCACUGACCAUGGAGAAUACACAGCAUCUCUGCUUGAUUGUGACAAGGCAAGUCCCAGGCAAUGGAUAAAAUCAAAUCUGAAACAGUUGAUUCAUGUUGGUGAAAGCUACCGAAAGAAUGUGAGGAUGGUUUUAAAGAUUUCCUGGUAAUGGAUAAAGCAUGUUCAGGUGGCCAGGCAAGUUUAGAGACCUUCUUUGACAUUUACAAGGGUUAUUAAAGGUUGUUGAGAAGCUACAUUUAGGAGUUAGAGGAACUGACAAAAUGCUUUUCACAGAAUGACAUGGUGAGAACAAGUUGAAAUUUUUGUAAAUUUAUUAAGUGUUCAAAGGAGUGAAACACCUGAUUAAAUUUCUGAUGCUCUU